GACGUAGGGCGCGAGCGUUGUCCGGAUUUAUUGGGCGUAAAGAGCGUGUAGGCGGCCUGGCAGGUCUGCUGUGAAAACUCGAGGCUCAACCUCGAGAUGUCGGCGGAAACCGUCUGGCUAGAGUCCGGAAGAGGAGAGUGGAAUUCCUGGUGUAGCGGUGAAAUGCGCAGAUAUCAGGAAGAACACCUAUGGCGAAGGCAGCUCUCUGGGACGGUACUGACGCCGAGACGCGAAAGCGUGGGGAGCGAACAGG
rnacentral:rRNA from 1 species